rnacentral:rRNA from 1 species
AGUAAUGUAUGGGGAUCUGCCCGAUAGAGGGGGAUAACUACUGGAAACGGUGGCUAAUACCGCAUAAUGUCUACGGACCAAAGCAGGGGCUCUUCGGACCUUGCACUACCGGAUGAACCCAUAUGGGAUUAGCUAGUAGGUGGGGUAAAGGCUCACCUAGGCGACGAUCUCUAGCUGGUCUGAGAGGAUGAUCAGCCACACUGGGACUGAGACACGGCCCAG